CCUACGGGAGGCAGCAGUGAGGAAUAUUGGUCAAUGGGCGCGAGCCUGAACCAGCCAAGUCGCGUGAGGGAAGACGGUCCUAUGGAUUGUAAACCUCUUUUGUCGGGGAGCAAAAGACUCCACGCGUGGCGUUCCGAGAUUACCCGAAGUAAAAGCAUCGGCUAAGUCCGUGCCAGCAGCCGCGGUACGACGGAGGAUGCGAGCGUUAUCCGGAUUUAUGGGGUUUAAGGGGUGCGCAGGCGGAAGAUCAAGUCAGCGGUAAAAUUGAGAGGCUCAACCUCUUCGAGCCGUUGAAACUGGUUUACUUGAGUGAGCGAGAGGUAUGCGGAAUGCGUGGUGUAGCGGUGAAAUGCACAGAUAUCACGCAGAACUCCGAUUGCGAAGGCAGCAUACCGGCGCUCAACUGACGCUCAUGCACGAAAGUGUGGGUAUCGAACAGGAUUAGAUACCCCAGUAGUC
rnacentral:rRNA from 1 species